rnacentral:lncRNA from 1 species
GGAAGGUAAAGACAGGAACUCAGCUAUAGUCACUCUUGCUUGAUGAGGAAUAGGUAGUAUCAGAUUGAGACAUUUUUAAUUUUGAAAAUUAGAUCAUUUCUAGCAGAAGUGUGCCGCUUAAUAAAGCUUCACAUAGAUUCCCUUUUCUGUUCAUUCCUUGUUUCUUACGUAUAUUUCAAGGACUAGAAGGUGUUGGAUUUAGCAGGCAACCAGUUAGACUAGUCCUUGUCCUCAUGAAUCGUAGUUACUUUAACAUAGAUGUUUUUAUUUCUUGGAUUUGUGUGUGUGUGUGUGUUGGUAUAGUUUUAGAGUUUAUCAUGCCUCUGCCAUUGUCUUCCCAUCUGUUUCAUGCCUGACAGUAAAGACUGAAUGUUGUUCACUAUACUGUUAUUUAACUUCUAGAUAACUGCACCCUUUUACGAGUAUGCCUA